CUCCCACGGGAGGCAGCAGUGGGGAAUUUUGGACAAUGGGGGCAACCCUGAUCCAGCAAUGCCGCGUGUGUGAAGAAGGCCUUCGGGUUGUAAAGCACUUUUGUCCGGAAAGAAAUCCCCUGCUCUAAUACAGCGGGGGGAUGACGGUACCGGAAGAAUAAGCACCGGCUAACUACGUGCCAGCAGCCGCGGUAAUACGUAGGGUGCGAGCGUUAAUCGGAAUUACUGGGCGUAAAGCGUGCGCAGGCGGUUUUGUAAGACAGGCGUGAAAUCCCCGAGCUCAACUUGGGAAUGGCGCUUGUGACUGCAAGGCUAGAGUAUGUCAGAGGGGGGUAGAAUUCCACGUGUAGCAGUGAAAUGCGUAGAGAUGUGGAGGAAUACCGAUGGCGAAGGCAGCCCCCUGGGACGUCACUGACGCUCAUGCACGAAAGCGUGGGGAGCAAACAGGAUUAGAUACCCUGGUAGUCCACGCCCUAAACGAUGUCAACUAGUUGUUGGGGAUUCAUUUCUUCAGUAACGUAGCUAACGCGUGAAGUGACC
rnacentral:rRNA from 1 species